UACGUAGGGGGCAAGCGUUGUCCGGAUUUAUUGGGCGUAAAGAGCGUGUAGGCGGCCAGACAGGUCUGCUGUGAAAACUCGAGGCUCAACCUCGAGACGCCGGCGGAAACCAUCAGGCUAGAGUCCGGAAGAGGAGAGUGGAAUUCCUGGUGUAGCGGUGAAAUGCGCAGAUAUCAGGAAGAACACCCGUGGCUAAGGCGGCUCUCUAGUACGGUACUGACGCUGAGACGCGAAAGCGUGGGGAGCGAACAGG
rnacentral:rRNA from 1 species